CAAUGAGUUAAAGAGUGUUUGAUCUCUUUAUAUGAUUUUGAGUAAUUCUCUCCUCAUAAGUUAGCUUUUGAGGUUGAGUUAGGUACAAGACAUUUCUUUAUCAUGAAUGACAUAUUUAAGAUUUUUCCUGUAAUCAAUAUCCACAAAAACAAACAACUCAACAAAAACUAACAAUCAAAAUUUUUUUUUUAACAUAAAAAUUCAAUCUUUAAUUAACUAAACUUCAAAGAAAGUAUUUUUUUUUCUUAAGUGCGAGAGAAGAAAGGAGAAAAAUAGCAGCGGAUCAAUCUGUAUUUGGGCCAGCUUUGGCCGGUGGCAUCGCUGGUGGCAGAGACGAUAGUGGAGGCGGCGGGAAACGAUAGUUGCGGCUGGGAUUGGAGAAGUAGAGUAAUUUUAGGGUUGAUAGGGUAAAAUAAAGAGAAAAUAUGAGGAAUUAAUAAGGACCGUGUGAUCAGAAGUUGUGGAUGGCUGAGAUUAAAAUUAGAAUUUAGGCCAGAUUGAGGAAUACAAUUUCUUCAUUUCAGCUCAUUUUGUGUAGUAUGUGUUAAGCUCUCCUGAUAGGUGCUGCACGUGUCACUGGAACACAGCUUCAGAUGAGUGACAAAGUGUGCAUUUUACUUUUGAAGUAUUUCGUUUUGAGAUUUCUUCAGCGGAUGUGCAAACCAGUUUUAAUAUUCAUCCCAGGUGAGUUUCAAUUUGUUACUAUUGACAUGUUCCUUUGCAAGGCUAUUACUUGCAAGUGGGUUGUUCAUAUGAUCAUUAUGCAUGUUAAGUGUUUGAUGAAAAUCCUCUCUCAUAAAGUGUCGGCUGGAGAACUUUAUUUUGCUUCCGUGUUUCCCAGAUCGUUAUCGUUUUCAUCUCAGAAUUGAUGAUGUUGUGAGAAGGAUCUUAAGAGUCAAAUUCACCUUGGGCCUUUUUGAGAAUCCUUUGGCUGAUUAUAGAUUAGUUAAACACAUCGGAAGCCAGACACAGAGAGAUUUGGCUAGAGAAGCAGUUAGAAAAUCACUUGUGGUACUGAAGAAUGGUGCAAAUGUUGAUAAGCCUAUGCUACCGUUGCCUAAAAACGGCAUCAAGAAUAUUAGUUGCUGGAAGUCAUGCAAAUAAUUUGGGCUAUCAAUGUGGUGGUUGGACAAUUACUUGGCAAGGAGUUGAUGGAAAUACUUAAAUUACAAUUGACAUAUUCCUUCUACUAGGCUUCCUUCAACAGAUUUUACAUGAGGAUGAAUUUACUGUUUCCUUCUUUAUUCUCUACUUCGGAUUAACUUCAUUCUUUAGUUCAUGGUUCUUGUUUCUGAUU